rnacentral:lncRNA from 1 species
AAGGAUUGAACAAAAGCAUUUGGGAUCCUGGUGAUCAAAUGUGUCUUGGUCUUUCCUACAGAGCUUAUGGACAUGUGGCUGUUACUGGGCGAGCACAGACAGACCACUGCAGACUGUUCGGACAGGAGGCGAGCAUGGGUCAGCAGCUCCCUGCCAAGGCUUUACAAGAAAGGCAGAAAGGGAUGGCAGAGCUUCGGAGCACGGCUGGACCCACAGAAACGACACGCCGCCGAGCUGAGAGCCCUAUAGGUGCCGUUUGCCUCGACAAGGAGGAUGCAUUUCUACAGUGGAGAAAUUGUCCGUGCUUAAGUCAGUCUUCUCACUGAACAUCUCCAUCCUGCAUUUUGCACCAUUCUUAUGCAAAAACAACCCAAAACUGCUGCACCACAGUAAGUCACGGAGACGGUUCAAAGCGCAGAGGUGAUUAUAAUUUAUAACUAACAUGUAUGUACAACGUCAUAGACACAGACAUAGAGCUGUGUGCAUGUGUUUGUGUGUGCUUGGUUUUAUCUGCUAUCAUGUUUUCAUUCCUCCUCCCUCUCCUCCCUGUUACAUUUAUUUUCUUACUGGCAGUUCCCUUGCUCCCUUCCCAAAACCUUUUUUUUGCCAAAUAUUCCCCUCUUUUUCAUGCUUCUUUAGAGAGGGUGGAGAUGUAGACAACCCUGAUAAAACUCAGGGCUGAGCUGCCUAUUGCUAGGAACAGAGUGAAAAAGCUGAAGGCAGACCCUGAAAUGCCAGCCCUUCACUCACUACAUAUCAGCUGUUCCAGCUGCUUCUGCAACAGCAUGCACCAGGGUGAGGAAAAAAGGAGACCAGAAUUCACAAUGAGAUCAGGGCAGGGCACGAGAAA